GAAAUAUGCAAAACAUAUAGCAUAUACAAUUCAAGCCACAUUCUAGCUCCAAUUUUUGUUCCUCAAACACUAACCAAACAGCAAGCAACUGUAUUAGUGGCAAAAGGCCAUCAUUUUUCCCCCCUCAAGCAGCAAGCAACUCAUCAAGUUGAAGAACGAAGACACAUUUACCGUUUAUGAUCAACAAAUAAAAAUCACUGCAACUCAUCAAGUGGUACCUUAAAACACCAGAGCUUCGAUUGUCCGACCGCCAGAUUUGAGAACGCUUAAGAGAACCGAAUCAAAAGACAAAAAUAGGAAGUGGGUCGUCAAUGUUGUUUGGCUCGUCUAAGCUACGGAAGAUUAAGCGAGCCGAAUCAAAUUCAAAACAAAAAGUGGAAGCUUAAAAGGGAAAGCAGGGAAGGGGAAGGAUAAUUGAAAAACAUAAUGUCCUACCAUCGAAGUCGCCGGAGCUUGUGGGAGCAGAAUCAAAAGCUCAAAACAAAAGGAUUGAAUGGGAAAGCAGGGAAGGGAAAGAAAAUUGGGAAUGGGAACCAAAAUCGAGAUUGUCAGUCGUACAUUGAUUUUUGUUUUUAAUUUAAUAUUGAAACGACGGAGUUUGGUGAAUCCCCGUUUGUUUGGCAAUGGCGUCAAUUGAUU
rnacentral:misc_RNA from 1 species